UACGUAGGGGCGAGCGUUAUCCGGAAUUAUUGGGCGUAAAGAGUGCGUAGGUGGUCUUGUAAGCGUGGGGUGAAAGGCAGUGGCUUAACCAUUGUUAGCCUUGCGAACUGUGAGACUUGAGUGCAGGAGAGGAAAGUGGAAUUCCUAGUGUAGCGGUGAAAUGCGUAGAUAUUAGGAGGAACACCAGUGGCGAAGGCGACUUUCUGGACUGUAACUGACACUGAGGCACGAAAGCGUGGGGAGCAAACAGGAUUAGAUACCCUGGUAGU
rnacentral:rRNA from 1 species